CUCAGCUGACUGUCACUGUAUCAGAUAUUUCCUUCAACGAAACAUCAGACUACUAUUAUCAUGGGCAAGGAGAGGACCAACGUCAACAUGACCGUCGUCGGCUUCUAUUAGACUCUCUCAUCAGGUGAUGGAGGGCUAGUACAACACGGACACGGCUCGGCUUCUGUACACGGACAACAUGCUACGAGAAUAUCCCCCGGACUACCCUACAAAUGAUUGGCGUUUUUAUUCAUCAAACUUAGUCUUUGUGGACUAACUUACUCAUUAUUUAACUUGACAGUAAUAAACUUAAUUUUACAGUA